rnacentral:rRNA from 1 species
AUGACGAGCUCCGCCUCCUCCUCCCCUUCCCGCAAGGUGCUGAGCAAGAUCGCGUGCCUCCGGCUGCAGAAGGAGCUCGGCGAGUGGCAGGCCAGCCCUCCCGGCGGCUUCACCUACAAGGUCUCCGACAACCUCCAGCGGUGGGUCAUCGAGGUGUCGGGGGCAGAGGGGACGCUCUACGCCGGCGAGACGUACCGGCUGCAGGUUGACUUCCCGGAGCAGUACCCCAUGGAGGCUCCACAGGUUAUAUUUAUGCAUCCGGCGCCGAUGCAUCCGCACAUUUACAGCAAUGGGCACAUCUGUCUAGAUAUAUUGUAUGACUCAUGGUCACCAGCAAUGACGGUCAGUUCCGUGUGCAUCAGCAUCUUGUCCAUGUUGUCAAGUUCACCAGCUAAGGAACGCCCAUCUGAUAACGAUCGCUAUGUCAGGAACUGCCGCAACGGGAGGUCGCCGAAGGAAACGAGGUGGUGGUUUCAUGAUGACAAAGUGUGA